GGUGCUAACGUCCGUCGUGAAGAGGGAAACAACCCAGACCGCCAGCUAAGGUCCCAAAGUCAUGGUUAAGUGGGAAACGAUGUGGGAAGGCCCAGACAGCCAGGAUGUUGGCUUAGAAGCAGCCAUCAUUUAAAGAAAGCGUAAUAGCUCACUGGUCGAGUCGGCCUGCGCGGAAGAUGUAACGGGGCUAAACCAUGCACCGAAGCUGCGGCAGCGACACUGUGUGUUGUUGGGUAGGGGAGCGUUCUGUAAGCCUGUGAAGGUGUGUCGUGAGGCAUGCUGGAGGUAUCAGAAGUGCGAAUGCUGACAUAAGUAACGAUAAAGCGGGUGAAAAGCCCGCUCGCCGGAAGACCAAGGGUUCCUGUCCAACGUUAAUCGGGGCAGGGUGAGUCGACCCCUAAGGCGAGGCCGAAAGGCGUAGUCGAUGGGAAACGGGUUAAUAUUCCCGUACUUGGUGUUACUGCGAAGGGGGGACGGAGAAGGCUAUGUUGGCCGGGCGACGGUUGUCCCGGUUUAAGCGUGUAGGUGUGUGUUCCAGGUAAAUCCGGUUCACUUUAACACUGAGGCGUGACGACGAGGCACUAUGGUGCUGAAGCAACAAAUGCCCUGCUUCCAGGAAAAGCCUCUAAGCAUCAGGUAACAUCAAAUCGUACCCCAAACCGACACAGGUGGUCAGGUAGAGAAUACCAAGGCGCUUGAGAGAACUCGGGUGAAGGAACUAGGCAAAAUGGUGCCGUAACUUCGGGAGAAGGCACGCUGACACGUAGGUGAAGUGAUUUACUCAUGGAGCUGAAGUCAGUCGAAGAUACCAGCUGGCUGCAACUGUUUAUUAAAAACACAGCACUGUGCAAACACGAAAGUGGACGUAUACGGUGUGACGCCUGCCCGGUGCCGGAAGGUUAAUUGAUGGGGUCAGCGCAAGCGAAGCUCCUGAUCGAAGCCCCGGUAAACGGCGGCCGUAACUAUAACGGUCCUAAGGUAGCGAAAUUCCUUGUCGGGUAAGUUCCGACCUGCACGAAUGGCGUAAUGAUGGCCAGGCUGUCUCCACCCGAGACUCAGUGAAAUUGAACUCGCUGUGAAGAUGCAGUGUACCCGCGGCAAGACGGAAAGACCCCGUGAACCUUUACUAUAGCUUGACACUGAACAUUGAGCCUUGAUGUGUAG
rnacentral:rRNA from 1 species